rnacentral:rRNA from 1 species
GACGAACGCUGGCGGCGUGCUUAACACAUGCAAGUCGAACGGAAAGGCCCUGCUUUUGUGGGGGGCUCGAGUGGCGAACGGGUGAGUAACACGUGAGUAACCUGCCCUUGACUUUGGGAUAACUUCAGGAAACUGGGGCUAAUACCGGAUAGGAGCUCCUGCUGCAUGGUGGGGGUUGGAAAGUUUCGGCGGUUGGGGAUGGACUCGCGGCUUAUCAGCUUGUUGGUGGGGUAGUGGCUUACCAAGGCUUUGACGGGUGGCCGGCCUGAGAGGGUGACCGGCCACAUUGGGACUGAGAUACGGCCCAGACUCCUACGGGAGGCAGCAGUGGGGAAUAUUGCACAAUGGGCGGAAGCCUGAUGCAGCAACGCCGCGUGCGGGAUGACGGCCUUCGGGUUGUAAACCGCUUUCGCCUGUGACGAAGCGUGAGUGACGGUAAUGGGUAAAGAAGCACCGGCUAACUACGUG